CUUUUUCUGGCUCAGAACCUGGCAGAAUUUCCCAGACCAUAGCAGAGAUGAUGGGGGUUGGGGGAGAGUCUUUGUCUAUGGAAUUUCAGAAAUAGACAGGCUAAUCCUAAAUUGCAUACAAAAUUGCAAGGAACCGGGAAUAGUAAAAUCUUGAAAACAGAAGGACAAGGUUGAAGGACGCACACUUGCCAAUUUUAAAACUUGUGACAAAGCUACAGUAAUCAAGACAGUGUGAAAUUAGCAUAAGGACAGACAUAGAUGAAUGGGAUAGAAUUGAGAGUCUGGAAACAAACUCAUACAUUUAUGAUCAAUAAAGGUGCCAAGACGA
ensembl:lncRNA